rnacentral:rRNA from 1 species
UGCUUUACACAUGCAAGUCGAACGGGUAGAGGGGGCAACCCCUUGAGAGUGGCGAACGGGUGAGUAAUAUAUCGGAACGUGCCCAGUCGUGGGGGAUAACGUAGCGAAAGCUACGCUAAUACCGCAUACGAUCUACGGAUGAAAGCGGGGGAUCGCAAGACCUCGCGCGAUUGGAGCGGCCGAUAUCAGAUUAGGUAGUUGGUGAGGUAAAGGCUCACCAAGCCGACGAUCUGUAGCUGGUCUGAGAGGACGACCAGCCACACUGGGACUGAGACACGGCCCAGACUCCUACGGGAGGCAGCAGUGGGGAAUUUUGGACAAUGGGCGCAAGCCUGAUCCAGCAAUGCCGCGUGCAGGAUGAAGGCCUUCGGGUUGUAAACUGCUUUUGUACGGAACGAAACGGUGAGCUCUAAUACAGUUUGCUAAUGACGGUACCGUAAGAAUAAGCACCGGCUAACUACGUG